ACCCACCGCCGUCAAUCUACCUACUGCUGCCAAUCUAUCUACUGCUGCCAACCUAUCUAUCACUGCUAAUCUAUCACUGCUAAUCUAUCACUGCUAAUCUAUUGCUGCCAACCUAUCUACCACUGUCAACCUACCUACCGCUGCCAACCUAUCUAUCACUGCCAAUCUAUAUAGGGUAAAUCAUGGUCCCAUUUGGUCCCAUUUUGUAAAAUGGGACCAAAUGGGACCAGAAUCACUAAUUUAUUAGUAAAACAUGAUCUGGGACUAGAUUUAUAAUAUAAACAGUGUAAAGUGACUAAUUUGCUAAACACUAUAUGGGACCAGGACUAAGAUAUCUAAUAAUGGGACUGAGGAAAAAUUUGGUCCCAGUCCCAUGCAUGGUCACACGGCCAGUCUAGAUUUCUGUGAUUUCAGCAUUUGACUUGCCAAAAUAGGGUGAUUUAAGAGUCAUCACAAGAGCUCUUGUGGCAAUAUCAGUAUUGGGUGCCAUAUAAAUCAGCAGAUGAAAUAUUAGAGAUGAGAUAUUUGAGAAAAA
rnacentral:sRNA from 2 species